GACGAACGCUGGCGGCGUGCUUAACACAUGCAAGUCGAACGGUAAGGCCCUUCGGGGUACACGAGUGGCGAACGGGUGAGUAACACGUGGGUGAUCUGCCCUGCACUUCGGGAUAAGCCUGGGAAACUGGGUCUAAUACCGGAUAGGACUCCGGACUGCAUGGCUUGGGGUGGAAAGCUUUUGCGGUGUGGGAUGGGCCCGGGGCCUAUCAGCUUGUUGGUGGGGUGAUGGCCUACCAAGGCGACGACGGGUAGCCGGCCUGAGAGGGUGACCGGCCACACUGGGACUGAGAUACGGCCCAGACUCCUACGGGAGGCAGCAGUGGGGAAUAUUGCACAAUGGGCGCAAGCCUGAUGCAGCGACGCCGCGUGAGGGAUGACGGCCUUCGGGUUGUAAACCUCUUUCAGCACAGACGAAGCGCAAGUGACGGUAUGUGCAGAAGAAGGACCGGCCAACUACGUGCCAGCCGCCGCGGUAA
rnacentral:rRNA from 1 species